GAAAGAAACAUGUCACAAAUGUCCAGUGGGAUGAAUAACAACAGUCAUUUCCAAACUGCUUUCUCCUUUUCUGUUCCAGGGGGAUCCCAAGGAAGUGCCUGGGGCUGACCUGCAACUCAGUGAAACAAAAGGCAUCGCCCUGCUGACAGAAGUACAUUCAACCGACUCAAAGGUGUGCCAAGAUGCCCAGCACACACAGGCUAAAGGAGAUCAGAAGCACAGAGGCCUCCUCUGGUUGUGUGCCACAAACCCAGGAUCUUCCAUCCAUCAGUAGUUGUACAAAACCAAAC
rnacentral:lncRNA from 1 species